rnacentral:rRNA from 1 species
GAUGAACGCUGACAGCAUGCUUAACACAUCAGCAAUUGAUUGGUGGCGGACGGGUGAGUAACGCGUAUAGAACUUGCCUCACAGCUAGGGACAACAUUUGGAAACGAAUGCUAAUCCCUAAUCCUGUGAGAGAGCUUUGCGUCCCAUUAGCUAGUUGGAGAGGUAACGGCUCACCAAGGCGAUGAUGGGUAGCCGGCCUGAGAGGGUGAUCGGGCACAAGGGGACUGGGGCGCGACCCUUACUGCUACGGGCGGCAGCAGUGGGGAAUAGUGGAAAAUGGACCAAAGUCUGAAGAAGCAAUUCUGGGUGCACGAUACAGUUUUCGGAAUGAAAAGUGCGUUCAGUUGGGAAGCGGUACCAACAGAAGAAGUGACGGCUAAAUACGUGCCAGCAGCCGCGGUAAUUC